UACGGGGGGAGCAAGCGUUGUUCGGAUUUACUGGGCGUAAAGGGCGCGUAGGCGGUCGUGACAAGUCACUUGUGAAAUCUCCGGGCUUAACUCGGAACGGUCAAGUGAUACUGUCGGACUAGAGUACAGAAGGGGCAACUGGAAUUCUCGGUGUAGCGGUGAAAUGCGUAGAUAUCAAGAGGAACACCUGAGGUGAAGACGGGUUGCUGGGCUGACACUGACGCUGAGGCGCGAAAGCUAGGGUAGCAAACGGG
rnacentral:rRNA from 1 species